rnacentral:rRNA from 1 species
GUCUAUGCCCUGACCGAUGAAUGUUAACUGUUGAAUAAAUUUAUUUUGGUAGUAAAGCUAACGCGUUAAACAUUCCGCCUGAGAACUACGGCCGCAAGGUUGAAACUCAAAGAAAUUGGCGGAGGGCUAAAAACAACGGUGGAGCAUGUUGUUUAAUUUGAUAUAACACAAGAAAUCUUACCAACCCUUGUAUGCAUAGUAUGAAUUUUUCGUUUUUUUAAAUUAAUUUAUUAAUUUGCUAUGUACAGGCGUUGCAUGGCUGUCGU